GAGAGUGCGGUUUGCCGUUCGAUUCCGUUCAAUCCGCUCCAGUGUUUUUGACGUACUUCAUCCGUGGGACUGUCGCAGAUAAGCUGGCAGAUAAGCUCAGAACUUGGCCACAAAUCAGGACCAAAUCCUGGGUCCUAAACUCAAACUAAUUGAAUUCGGGCGAGCUAAUUGGCAGCCAAAGUGUUGCCGUCGUAAUGAGGCUGCCAUUCAUCUGGCAUUUAAUUUAAUUCAGUUUCGCUGAUCGCAUAGCUGUGUAAAAGUCUGUAAUAUUUGAUUAGUGCGCGUUACCAAAAAUAAAACAGAAGCCGGGAAAAUCAACAGAAAGUACGGUUCAUUUGCUAAAUACACGGGACCAUUCGAAUUUUCCCACUCAAUUUAAGUGUGUGUGUGCUCGUGGACUGUGUGUGUGCUCAGUGGGUGAGAGUGUGUGUAGCAAAUUUCAUUUAUUGGCAGCCAGCAACUGAUUUGAAUAUUCACACACACACAGGCCAGGAUCUCCGCUGCCAAAAUACUAGACCAGAUUGUGGCUUCUUCUGUAAGCCAGUGUGCGAGUGUGUGUGCUGCAUGAUUUAUAGGUCCUGCAGCAGGCGUGAUGUAAAGUGACAAUUUCUGGUAAUUUUCGAUUUACAUGCCGUUGCGCAUCGGACAGACGACCGACCAAGUUGAAAGUUCAAUAAACCCACACAGAAGAGGGACCUCGUAACUAUAGCAAAGGUAAAUGUUCGGAUAUGAAAUAAAUAGAAA